UCCCUCUCCCACUGCUACCACUACCGCAGCCCCUCUUCCGGGGACACCGAGCUCUCCCACUCCUAUCCCAGAGGUCUGAGAUCUCUGACCUUGUAUUUUUCUUUCAUUGCAAUUUUUCCUUUUCCUCUUGUCUUUAAGAAAUAUUUAAUCAAUAAAAUUGAGUUCCUCCUCUUGGAGGGCUUCUCCAAUCUGCUCCCCCUUUUUUUGUUUUUGCUUUAUGCAAUGAGAUGCGCUUUGAUGCCUUUAUCUCUCGAUGGCUGCAUCCUGCUGAAGCUCUCCCCUUGCCACAAGGGAUUCCGUUGA
rnacentral:lncRNA from 1 species